rnacentral:rRNA from 1 species
GACGAACGCUGGCGGCGUGCUUAACACAUGCCAGUCGAACGGAAAGGCCCUGCUUUUGUGGGGUGCUCGAGUGGCGAACGGGUGAGUAACACGUGAGUAACCUGCCCUUGACUUUGGGAUAACUUCAGGAAACUGGGGCUAAUACCGGAUAGGAGCUCCUGCUGCAUGGUGGGGGUUGGAAAGUUUCGGCGGUUGGGGAUGGACUCGCGGCUUAUCAGCUUGUUGGUGGGGUAGUGGCUUACCAAGGCUUUGACGGGUAGCCGGCCUGAGAGGGUUGCCGGCCACAUUGGGACUGAGAUACGGCCCAGACUCCUACGGGAGGCAGCAGUGGGGAAUAUUGCACAAUGGGCGGAAGCCUGAUGCAGCAACGCCGCGUGCGGGAUGACGGCCUUCGGGUUGUAAACCGCUUUCGCCUGUGACGAAGCGUGAGUGACGGUAAUGGGUAAAGAAGCACCGGCUAACUACGUG